rnacentral:rRNA from 1 species
GACUUCUUGUGAUACCUACUGUACCACCUGCAGUUCAGUCUAGGUAAUACACCUGUAGCUAAACAGGUUUGGGCCGGGCCAGUACUUGGAUUGGAGACCAAUUAGGAAAGCUGGUAUGGGAGCCC